rnacentral:snRNA from 1 species
UGAUGUGAGGACAAUCUUGCUGUGACAUUUCACCCCAGUGUUCACCAGGGUUAAUUUGGAUGGUAUGGCUGACUAGGCAGGUGUCCCCUUCCUCCCUCACUGAUCCAUGUGUGUCCUUGAUGAAACUGUACUCUAGGCCGGUUGAAGAAGGUGACCUUCUCUGAACAGAGAAGGACCAGUCUUCAGCCAAGGGUAUGUUAGUAGCAGAGCUACUCUGCUAGAACCUCCAAACAAGCUGUAAAUUCCGUUGUUCUUUUUAUUAUUGAUGAUGAUAUUCUUGUUUAUGGGUGUCAGAUCUCUAGCAGUCUAGCCACUCUAAAUGUAUAUUGGUAUUAUUACCUGUAAGUUUAUACAUUAAU